UACAGAGGGGGCAAGCGUUAUUCGGAAUUAUUGGGCGUAAAGGGCGCGUAGGCGGCUUGGCAAGUGGAAGGUGAAAUCCCUCGGCUUAACCGAGGAACUGCCCUCCAAACUGCUUGGCUUGAGACCGGGAGAGGUGAGUGGAAUUCCCAGUGUAGCGGUGAAAUGCGUAGAUAUUGGGAAGAACACCGGUGGCGAAGGCGGCGACCUGGUCCGAUACUGACGCUGAGGCGCGAAAGCGUGGGGAGCAAACAGG
rnacentral:rRNA from 1 species